UACGUGGGGGGCAAGCGUUGUUCGGAAUUACUGGGCGUAAAGGGCUCGUAGGCGGCCAACUAAGUCGGAUGUGAAAUCCCCAGGCUCAACCUGGGAACUGCAUCCGAUACUGGAUGGCUUGAAUUCGGGAGAGGGAUGCAGAAUUCCAGGUGUAGCGGUGAAAUGCGUAGAUAUCUGGAGGAAUACCGGUGGCGAAGGCGGCAUCCUGGACCGACAUUGACGCUGAGGAGCGAAAGCCAGGGGAGCAAACGGG
rnacentral:rRNA from 1 species